UGCCCGAUGGUGUAAUGGCAACACACUUGGUUUUGGUCCAAGCAUUCUAGGUUCGAGUCCUAGUCGGGCAA
rnacentral:tRNA from 1 species